rnacentral:rRNA from 1 species
GAUGAACGCUGGCGGUAUGCUUAACACAUGCAAGUCGAACGGUCACUUCGGUGAUAGUGGCGGACGGGUGAGUAACGCGUGAGAAUCUGUCUUCAGGUCGGGGACAACAGUUAGAAAUGACUGCUAAUACCGGAUGUGCCUUUGGGUGAAAGAUUUAUUGCCUGAAAAAGAGCUCGCGUCAGAUUAGCUAGUAGGUGGUGUAAGAGACUACCUAGGCUCCGAUCUGUAGCUGGUCUGAGAGGACGAUCAGCCACACUCGAACUGAGACACGGUCCAGACUCCUACGGGAGGCAGCAGUGGGGAAUUUUCCGCAAUGGGCGAAAGCCUGACGGAGCAAUACCGCGUGAGGGACGAAGGCUUUUGGGUCGUAAACCUCUUUUCUCAAGGAAGAUGAUGACGGUACUUGAGGAAUAAGCAUCGGCUAACUCUGUG